AAAAAGGCUUCCAACAUGGACAAAUUAAGCCCUUGGGACCGCCUUACAAAGAAUACAUUUUUCCAGUGUCGAACCAAGAUCAAUAGAGAAAAACAAAUAAUUUCAAGUGGGAGUCGUCAUAAUGACACCCAGAGAGAAAGUCCAAGGAUGGUACCAGGGCCUGGGCUGCUUCCUCCUGUUCCAUCAUCUUUGUGAAUAGCCCGGAGUGAGCGGGCCCAUCUGGUUCUAUUUCACUCCACGUUACUCAUCAGGAUGUGUUUGCCAGCAGCUAUUUGAUCUUCAGGAAGAAUUCCGAAGCUUUCGAAAAGAAGUAAAUAAAAUCUUUAAUCCCCCA
rnacentral:lncRNA from 1 species